AUACUCAUCAAUUUGUUUCCUACGACCUGGAUCACGCACAACCUCAUUUGGAUUAAACUCAUUGGCAACAUUAGGCGGUGGCACUACUUCGGGUUCCGGUUGCACAACAUUCACAUUCUCAAUACUUUCUUUAUUAACCAAAAACCUCCUCAUCUCUGAAAUUGAAUGAUCUAAAGUUAAUAAUGAAACUUAAUGAUCUUCAAUGGUCACAUAAUGAUAUACAUUUACAUCAAGAAAAAACAAAUAGAUACAAGAAUAAAAUCCACAACACAGCAACUUUAACCAACACACAGUAUACCAACAAAACCAAAAUAAGGCCAAAACCAACCAGCUUAGAGGUAAAUUACGCAUGCCAAAAUGCAUUGAAAAGGCAUAAUAAAAUACCCUGUAGAAGACCACUUGUCCACUUCAAAUGCUUGAAUUUUUUCUCAAGCAUAGGGUGUUGUACGAAAUGCACUAAAAUCCAGAGAUAGGUAAAUUGCAAUAGGAACAUAGUAUAUUGAAAUUGGAUAGAACAACAACAAAAAAACACAAAAAUCAGCAUCAUCAUUCACCAAUGAAACACAGUAAAUGAAUUACAAUACCCAAUUAAGAAUAAAGCUGAAAAUUUCCUUAUCAUAUAAAGCAAGUGAAAUAGAACUAGGAAGAGAAAAAUCCAGAAAGAGGGGAAGCAGCAUAAUCAACAGAGGAGACAAAUUUAGAGAGAGGGGAAGAAGCAAAAUCAACAUACCUAAUAGAACAACUGAACAAGAGAGAGAGAGAGAGGAAGAAGCAGGCAAAAUUGCACAAACUGGGGAAGAUUCAAGCUGAUCGUGAGCAUGAGCGUGAGCGUAAGCGGUGAGCGUGAGCGGUGAGGGUGAGCGUGAACUGUUUUUCUGUUGUGUGCAAGGACAAGGCAG
rnacentral:lncRNA from 1 species